UAUUGGACAAUGGGCGCAAGCCUGAUCCAGCAAUGCCGCGUGUGUGAAGAAGGCCCUCGGGUUGUAAAGCACUUUUAUCAGGAACGAAAUCGGCAGGGUUAAUAGCCAUGUCGUCUGACGGUACCUGAGGAAUAAGCACCGGCUAACUUCGUGCCAGCAGCCGCGGUAAUACGAAGGGUGCAAGCGUUAAUCGGAAUUACUGGGCGUAAAGGGUGCGUAGGCGGUUAGUUAAGUCUGUUGUGAAAUCCCCGGGCUCAACCUGGGAAUGGCAAUGGAUACUGGCUGGCUAGAGUGUGUCAGAGGAUGGUGGAAUUCCCGGUGUAGCGGUGAAAUGCGUAGAGAUCGGGAGGAACAUCAGUGGCGAAGGCGGCCAUCUGGGACAACACUGACGCUGAAGCACGAAAGCGUGGGGAGCAAACAGGA
rnacentral:rRNA from 1 species